CCUACGGGGGGCUUCAGUGGGGAAUAUUGGGCAAUGGGCGCAAGCCUGACCCAGCAACGCCGCGUGAAGGAAGAAGGCUUUCGGGUUGUAAACUUCUUUUAUCAGGGACGAAGCAAGUGACGGUACCUGAUGAAUAAGCCACGGCUAACUACGUGCCAGCAGCCGCGGUAAUACGUAGGUGGCAAGCGUUAUCCGGAUUUACUGGGUGUAAAGGGCGUGUAGGCGGGAGUGCAAGUCAGAUGUGAAAACUAUGGGCUCAACCCAUAGCCUGCAUUUGAAACUGUUUUUCUUGAGUACUGGGGAGGCAGACGGAAUUCCUAGUGUAGCGGUGAAAUGCGUAGAUAUUAGGAGGAACACCAGUGGCGAAGGCGGUCUGCUGGACAGCAACUGACGCUGAGGCGCGAAAGCGUGGGGAGCAAACAGGAUUAGAUACCCGGGUAGUC
rnacentral:rRNA from 1 species